AAUCUGCCCAUAAUUAUCCUCUAAAUUACCAAUAAUACCCUUGACCUCAAGAACCAAACCCCAGAACCCAUCAAUCCAACCUCUCUUCCAAUUCCCAUGGCAGAUUUCAGACAACCUCUCUUUACAACUCUCGAGCCGCUUCAAAGCACAGACAAGCUCGAUCGUAUCUCCAAAGCUCAAAGUGUUGGAUCGUUCUUUAAACUCGUUGAAUCUCGUGUAAAGCUCGUUGAUCGAAGACACGUAGUCUUCUCCUACCAACUGAGUGAUUUUGUCUGCGAGGGAUUUCCCACCGGAGAAGGGUAGAUCCGGAAUUUUACAUGCUUCUUCUAGUAGACCAACGAGAGCAUCGAUCUCACGAAGCAGAUCAGAGUUGAAAGUUUCAGAUAAUUCCGACCACCGGAAGCUGGAAAUACAGAGAGCUGAUCUUGGAGGAUGAAACGACCGUGUUUGACGAUGUGAUGGAUAAUGAUCAAAGACUUGAGAGCUACGCAAGCAUCUCCGGUGGUGUGAAGACGUUCCAUUAUGGAUUCGACAGCUGAAGAAGCGGUGGCUCGUGAGCCAGUACCGGCGGAGAGAAUAACGGCGAGGUGACGAUUCCCCGGCGGCGUUGAAGGGUCAUGAGUAGUGGCACGGAGGACAGAGAGAUGGAAAGAGAGAGUUUUGCUUUUAGUGUUUGAUGAUACUAAAGCAGCUUUGCUUUGAGAAGCUUUGUCUUUGAUUCUACCUAUUAGAUCUGCAAAACUUGUUAUUCUUCCCAUCGAUGAAUCGACGAUGAUCUACUACACCAGGUAGAUAUGACUUGUUUUGUUUUUCUUGCUUUUUGAUGGACUAAAAAGAAGAUAAUAUAUAGUAGUUUUUUUUGGUCAAUAAAGGAAACUGUUUUAUUC
rnacentral:lncRNA from 1 species